GUUCUUCUAAUGGAAAGAAUCGGCAACAAAUCAGCCUUCGGCGGCAUCAGCGUUGCCCUUCCCGUCAAUCACGCCGCACUCCAGCCACCUCCCCCGGGCCGCCUCCACUCCACCCACCAGCCGCCUCCGCUCCAGCCAUCAGCCGCCUCCCGCCCGCCCCCUAGAUCUGUGGCGGCUGGCAGCUCCUGCUUCGCCGGCCGGCGCCUGACUGGCGCCCUUGCGUCGAGGUCCCCCACCUCCACCACGCACUCAUGCUCGGCCACCAGAGCCCACCGCACCGUCCGCGCGAGGCGCACGGCAGCGAGGCGCGCCUCUUCCCGGCUAGCUGCCGGCUCCCGGCUCCCGCGUGGUACCUCCUCCUGGUCGGCGGUCUGCGGUCGGGCUCCCGUCGUCCCGCUAGGAGCUCGGGUCCUCUCGGCCGCGGGUCCUCCUGCUCGCGACGGUGCUCAAAUCGGCCACCACCAAGAUGGUGUCGGUAGCAGUAGGGACGGCCGCGGCGGGGCGCGGUCGAUUGUGCGCGAUGGACACGGUGUUCAACGGCAGCACGCUGGGGAUCGAGCAGCACGUCGUCGAGAUCGCCCCUGUCGGCGGCCGGCUUGUGCUCGACAACUCCAUCAAUAGCACAAUCUACAGGGUCCUGCUGCCGCUGUCACCAUAUGCGGCAUGCAGUUGGCGGCGGCGGGUAUGGUGUGUUCUGGAUGGACUACGAGGACCACGACAAAUCCAUGGGUGCCUGCUGCUGCAUCCGUAGCUUGUGCCGCCUCAUCGAUGCUAUGCUUUUGGAGUUACGAGAGAGUGAGUAACUGUGUUUGCAUUGGAAAUAACAGGGCAUACUUGAAGGUUGUUGCAUGCAGCCUAUUGUGGUACGUAUAUUGAGCUUACUUGGGACAUGCUGACUUCUGAAUACCAGCUGUUAACUUUGAUGGGCUGCAACAAGCACAAAUAUGAAUAAGCAGUCAAGGUUGGCAGACUACUUUCUUGUGUCCGAGUGGCUGGUUGGAUGAAUGGAUGUAGAAACAAGAGCUGAUAAGGAUAGUAUCACUGUGCAGUUUUUCAAAAACAAGCUCCCAACAAGCACAAGUCUGGAAAGGUAUUUCCUUCUUUAGCAGCUAGAGUAUUUUCCAUUGUUGUUUCAAAGCAAAAUGAUUUAGUUUAUUCCAUCUCUCUUCCUUUUGCUAAUUCGAGUUAAAUUCUUUUAUACAGGCUCGUUAAAAUAUAUUUGUUUUAACAAAAUGUGUUUCUUGUCUAUAUCCUUUUAAUGGUUAACAUUAUUCAAUCGAAAUGUAAUUCAGUGAUGCAUCUUGUAGCAGCACUGCAGCAGGAGCUUCAGAUGUACGUGAGGCCGUGCCAAGCUUUGUACUCCGUUAUUUGUUUGUUGAGACAAUUGACGGAUGCAUGGUUACAACAGAAUGGUACCGGGUUUCCUUUUCUAUCUUUUGUAUCAAAUAUUGAUAUGGCUAUGACUAACAAAAUUUCAAUUUUGGUUACUAUUGUUGGAGUUUUAUUGUAAAAAAUACUCUGAUUUCCCUUAUCUUAUUAAGUUGAUGUUUUUAUUUCCAGUCUGGACUAUAUGACAUGGUCAAAAAGUUCAGCUCUUGAACCUUAGUGUUUUCCAUUUUACUCUGCACCUUAUGUCAAGUAAACCCUUUUAGGUAUUUGGUAUGAGACAUAUUGUGAAGGUGUUUUCUCCAAAGCUGACAAUUAAAACAGAGGAUAGCUUGGACUUUUGAACUUGUCAUAGAUUACCCUUUGGAAAAACAAUAAUAGACAUUGCUUGAUUCAAGUGUGAAAAUGGGUAUGCAGCAUUGAGUUAUUAACAGUUGAAAUGAUUAUUAAUAUAUGCGAGAAAUUUUUAUGGCCAUCUUAGGGUGCUUAUUUCUAUUGUUUUUUGAAAGAUCAUGGUGAGAUGGAAUACUUUAUGGGAUGGCUAAUUAUUGUUGAAAAGAAAUAUAAGCUUCAUGUUAUCUCAGAAUUCAGAUGACCAAUCAGACCCAUGGUGAAUUCUUUGAAGACGAGGGUGCUGCAUGCGCUAGAGAUCGUUUUGGAUGAGAUCUACUGUUAUGUGGCCUUUUUUUGAGAAGGAAGACAAACAAGACCUGACCUGGCCAUUUACUCCCUGUUUGGAGGGCUGAUCCGCUGAGCUGGAUACUGAUCAGCUAGGCAUGUGGAUGAUCUCGCAGGCCCUGUGCUCCCCGCCGUGCUCACUCGCGGAACAGUGUUGCCAGCCAGCCAGCCCAGCCAACCGAACAAGCCAUCAGAUGGUUGCAUAGUAGUGUCAUAUAUGAACAAGCAUAUGUGAAAAUGAUCUUAUAAAAGAUCUACCAUCAAAAUGCUACACUUCAUAAAUGAAUUCAGCUAAAGUAUUAAUAUCGAAUACUAUUUUUGUUUUUAAA